rnacentral:rRNA from 1 species
UACGUAGGGUGCAAGCGUUGUCCGGAAUUAUUGGGCGUAAAGAGCUCGUAGGCGGUCUGUCGCGUCUGCUGUGAAAACUCGAGGCUUAACCCCGGGCCUGCAGUGGGUACGGGCAGACUAGAGUGCGGUAGGGGAGACUGGAAUUCCUGGUGUAGCGGUGAAAUGCGCAGAUAUCAGGAGGAACACCGGUGGCGAAGGCGGGUCUCUGGGCAGUAACUGACGCUGAGGAGCGAAAGCGUGGGGAGCGAACAGG